rnacentral:rRNA from 1 species
UUUGAUUAUGGCUCAGAUUGAACGCUGGCGGCAGGCCUAACACAUGCAAGUCGAGCGAGAAAGCCCUUCGGGGUGAGUAGAGCGGCGGACGGGUGAGUAACGCGUAGGAAUCUACCCAGUAGUGGGGGACAACAGUCGGAAACGGCUGCUAAUACCGCAUACGCCCUACGGGGGAAAGCGGGGGACCUUCGGGCCUCGUGCUAUUGGAUGAGCCUGCGUAAGAUUAGCUAGUUGGUGAGGUAAAGGCUCACCAAGGCGACGAUCUUUAGCUGGUCUGAGAGGAUGAUCAGCCACACUGGGACUGAGACACGGCCCAGACUCCUACGGGAGGCAGCAGUGGGGAAUAUUGCGCAAUGGGCGAAAGCCUGACGCAGCCAUGCCGCGUGUGUGAAGAAGGCCCUAGGGUUGUAAAGCACUUUCAAUUGGGAGGAAAGGUUAGUCGUUAAUAACGGCUAGCUGUGACGUUACCUUUAGAAGAAGCACCGGCUAACUCCGUGCCAGCAGCCGCGGUAAUACGGAAGGGUGCGAGCGUUAAUCGGAAUUACUGGGCGUAAAGCGCGCGUAGGCGGUUUAUUAAGUCGGAUGUGAAAGCCCCGGGCU